GCUGCUCGAAACUUUGCACACCUCUCCGUGGUGAGCAGCAGGCAACGCUGAUAUAAGCGGCUAAGAUGUGGAG
rnacentral:ribozyme from 1 species